rnacentral:misc_RNA from 1 species
GGAGGGAUCAUUAACACACUCGCGUUCAUUUAGGCAGUGUAGCCCACAAAUGUGGAAUGGCCGAUUCGGCACUGUGCUCUCUCGGUCUCUUGAAUCUGACCUUUCGACCCUGGAGUUGCCUAAAGGUGGAGGAGUUAGGGCUGGAGGAGAUUGGCUGAUUGGGUGCUUUGCUGGAGGAGCACACGUGGGAGCAUCUCGCCUAAACAACAAGCACGGUUCAAGUCUUGUGACCUUUUAAGCACACUCUUGUGGGCUUUUUGGGUCUCAGAUUCUUUAUUUUAAGAACACGGUUGAAUGUGCCCCUAUUUGUUUCUGGGAAUUGAGAGAGGACUUGUGCUAUUCAGGGCAGAGGGACGCCUCGCCCAGAGCUGCCGAGUUUCUCGAUCAAGAGUAUGAAAGCAUAAAUAAAAAUGAGAACUUUUAACAACGGAUAUCUUGGUUCUCGCAACGAUGACGAGCGCAGCGAAAUGCGAUACUUAGUGUGAAUUGCAGAAUUCAGUGAAUCAUCGAGACCUUGAACGCAUAUUGCGCCUGCAAGCAAUUGCAGGCACGCCUGUUUGAGUAUUGUUUGAGAAACAGCAGCAAACAAAAUGCCUUGCAUUCUGUACGCUGUUUGGAGCUGGGUUCCCAGGCUGAGAGCCUGGCUGCCUGAAAUUUAUAAAGAAGGAUGUCAGGAAAAAGGGUCCAUCACUUGGUACAAAAACAGUGCAGUGACAUUGCCUCCGGGCGAGAGACCACCACACUAUGAGUAGUCCAGGGCAAAAUGAUGAGAGGGUUUUUUAGGCACCUGCGAGCGAAAAAAGGAUGGGCGGAGUGCACUGUCACCCCGCUGCUCGAAACAAAAAUUCAAAAAAACAUUUUGAACAUCUCAAUCUCAAAUCAGGCGAGAACACCCGCUGAACUUAAGCAUAUUAAUAAGCGGAGGAGAAGAAACUAACAAGGAUUCCCCCAGUAACUGCGAGUGAAGUGGGAGGAGCUCAAUCUUAAAAUCAGCAGCAGUCCAUGUUGCCGAAUUGUAGUUUUGUGAACAGCUUCACGGGCAGGCUGCCUUGGUAUAAGUCCUCUGGAACGAGGUGCCAAAGAAGGUGAUAGCCCUGUGCAUGACCAAGGUGUACAUGGCCUGUCAACACGUGCUGCUGAUUCAGCGAGUCGGGUUGUUUGGGAGUACAGCCCAAAGUGGGAGGUAAAUUCCUUCUAAAGCUAAAUAAUGGCGAGAGACCGAUAGCGAACAAGUACCGUGAGGGAAAGAUGCAAAGAACUUUGAAAAGAGAGUUAAAAGUGCUUGAAAUUGUUAAAAGUGAAGCGAUUGGGAGCAGUACAUGCCCGUCGCCAACUCAUCCGCUGCUGCAGGGUUGGAGCGGUGUCGUCGAGUGGCUCUUCGCAGUCAUCGCGGUGCCGUCUUCCUGGCCCUGUGGGUGGUGGAGCAUUUUGGUGGCGGGUGAGUCAGCAUCAGUGAGCUCUCGAGCGGGAGAAUGGUCUGGAGGAGGUGAUAUGCUGUCUGCCCUCGGGCUCUCAGUGUGUGUUAAACUCUGGGCAGAUACCGUUCGGUUCACUGAGGCAAUCUGUGAUUGAUAACCGGCGCCUUCUUGGCGGGGUAAGAGUGGGACUGAGUUGUGCCAGAGGUGAGGACAGCUUGCUGUGCUUGUCGACUGGCAUGGCUCAUGGCCUGCUCUCCACUUGCCGGUUAGAGAUGCUGACCGAAUGUUUCCAAUCGUCCCGUCUUGAAACACGGACCAAGGAGUCUAACAUAUGUGCGAGCGAAUGGGUGGCAAACCCACGCGCGCAAUGAAGUGAGAGGUGGGAGUCGCGAGACGCACCAUCGACCAAUUUUGAUAUUUUUGGAUAGAUUUGAGUUGGAGCAUAUAUGUUGGGACCCGAAAGAUUGCGAACUAUGCUUGCAUAGGGUGAAGCCAGGCGAAGUCUGGUGGAGGCUCGUAGCGAUACUGACGUGCAAAUCGUUCGUCAAAUGUGGGUAUAGCGGCGAAAGACUAAUCGAGCAAUCUAGUAGCUGGUUUCCUC